GUGAGGAAUUUUCCGCAAUGGGCGAAAGCCUGAUCCAGCCAUGCCGCGUGUGUGAAGAAGGUCUUCGGAUUGUAAAGCACUUUAAGUUGGGAGGAAGGGUAGUAACCUAAUACGUUGCUACUUUGACGUUACCGACAGAAUAAGCACCGGCUAACUUCGUGCCAGCAGCCGCGGUAAUACGAAGGGUGCAAGCGUUAAUCGGAAUUACUGGGCGUAAAGCGCGCGUAGGUGGUUCAGUAAGUUGGAAGUGAAAUCCCCGGGCUCAACCUGGGAACUGCUUUAAAAACUGCUGAGCUAGAGUACGGUAGAGUGUGAUGGAAUUUCCUGUGUAGCGGUAAGAUGCGUAGAUAUAGGAAAGAACACCAGUGGCGAAGGCGAGCACCUGGACUGAUACUGACACUGAGGUGCGAAAGCGUGGGGAGCAAACAGGAUUAGAAACCCGAGUAGUCC
rnacentral:rRNA from 1 species